UUGGAGGGCAAGUCUGGUGCCAGCAGCCGCGGUAAUUCCAGCUCCAAUAGCGUAUAUUAAAGUUGUUGCAGUUAAAAAGCUCGUAGUUGAAUUUCGGGAUCAAAUUGUCGGUCGUGCCUCGGUACGCACUGGUAUGAUUGGUUCCUACCUUCUGAAGAACCGCGAUGUCAUUAAUUUGGUGUCGUGGGGAAUCAGGACUGUUACUUUGAAAAAAUUAGAGUGUUUAAAGCAGGCUUACGCUUGAAUACAUUAGCAUGGAAUAAUGAAAUAGGACGUUUGAUUCUAUUUUGUUGGUUUCUAGGAUUGACGUAAUGAUUAAUAGGGAUAGUUGGGGGCAUUAGUAUUCAAUUGUCAGAGGUGAAAUUCUUGGAUUUAUUGAAGACUAACUACUGCGAAAGCAUUUGCCAAGGAUGUUUUCAUUAAUCAAGAACGAAAGUUAGGGGAUCGAAGACGAUCAGAUACCGUCGUAGUCUUAACCAUAAACUAUGCCGACUAGGGAUCGGAUGAUGUUAAUUUUUUAAUGACUCAUUCGGCGCCUUACGGGAAAC
rnacentral:rRNA from 1 species